rnacentral:rRNA from 1 species
CCUACGGGAGGCAGCAGUGAGGAAUAUUGGUCAAUGGGCGGGAGCCUGAACCAGCCAAGUAGCGUGCGGGAAGACGGUCCUAUGGAUUGUAAACCUCUUUUGGGCGGGAGCAAUGCGGGUCACGCGUGCCCGGAGGGAGAUUACCCGCAAAAUAAGCAUGGGCAAACUCCUGGCCAGCAGCCGCGGUAAUAAGGAGGAUGGGGCAGUUUUCCGGUUGUAUUGGGUUUAAAGGAGGCGUAGGCGGAAUGCAAAGGCAGCGGUAAAAUCGCGGGGCUCAACCUCGCGCCGCGGUUGCAACUGGCGUUCUUGAGUGGGCGAGAAGUAUGCGGAAUGCGUGGUGUAGCGGUGAAAUGCAUAGAUAUCACGCAGAACUCCGAUUGCGAAGGCAGCAUACCGGCGCCCAACUGACGCUGAAGCACGAAAGCGGGGGUAUCGAACAGGAUUAGAUACCCUUGUAGUC